GAUGAACGCUGGCGGCGUGCUUAACACAUGCAAGUCGAACGGAAAGGCUCCUGCUUGCAGGGGUACUCGAGUGGCGAACGGGUGAGUAACACGUGGGUGAUCUGCCCUGCACUUCGGGAUAAGCCUGGGAAACUGGGUCUAAUACCGGAUAGGACGAUGGUUUGGAUGCCAUUGUGGAAAGUUUUUCGGUUUGGGAUGAGCUCGCGGCCUAUCAGCUUGUUGGUGGGGUACUGGCCUACCAAGCAGUCGACGGGUAGCCGGCCUGUGAGGGUGUACGGCCACAUUGGGACUGAGAUACGGCCCAGACUCCUACGGGAGGCAGCAGUGGGGAAUAUGGCACAAUGGGCGCAAGCCUGAUGCAGCGACGCUGCGUGGGGGAUGACGGCCUUCGGGUUGUAAACUCCUUUCGCUAGGGACGAAGCGCAAGUGACGGUACCUGGAGAAGAAGCACCGGCUAACUACGUG
rnacentral:rRNA from 1 species